GGGCGAUUAGCUCAGCUGGAUAGAGCGACAGCCUCCGGAGCUGUAGGCCGCGCGUUCGAAUCGCGCAUCGCCCACCA
rnacentral:tRNA from 1 species